rnacentral:rRNA from 1 species
UUUUUGGGCUUGGUAAUUGGAAUGAGGGAGAGUUAAACGGACCAUCGAGUAUCCAUUGGAGGGCAAGCCUGGUGCCAGCAGCUGCGGUAAUACCAGCUCCAAUAGCGUAUAUUAAAGUUGUUGCAGUUAAAAAGCUCGUAGUUGGACUUGUGUGCGCUGUCCGCGGGUGGCCUGCGCCCAAAAGGGCGUUUCGGUUCGGCCCCGGUGGCGCCUUGAAAUCUGCAGCUGGGGGGACGUUGGCCUUAACUGGUCGGCGACCGCACGCCGGCUGCUCGGUUACUGUGAGAAAAUUAGAGUGUUCAAGGCAGGCAUUGGGUGCAAUUGAAUACAUUAGCAUGGAAUAAUAAAAUAUGGCUCCUGCCGUAUUUUGUUGGUUUUGACUGGUGGGAGUAAUGAUUGAUAGGGACGGUUGGGGGUGCUAGUAUUGAGCGGCCAGAGGUGAAAUUCAUGGAUUCGCUCAAGACUAACUUAUGCGAAAGCAUUCACCAAGGACGUCCUCUCUAAUCAAGAACGAAAGUUGGGGGAUCGAAGACGAUCAGAUGCCGUCGUAGUCUCAACCAUAAACUAUGUCGACUUGGGAUCGGCGGUAGUUUUUUCAUUAAGACACUGUCGGGACCACGGGAGAAAUCAAAGUGUCUGGACUCUGGGGGAAGUAUGGUCGCAAGGCUGAAACUUGAAGGAAUUGACGGAAGGGCACCACCAGGAGUGGAGCCUGCGGCUUAAUUUGACCCAACACGGGGAAACUUACCAGGUCCAGAGAUGUAGAGGAUUGACAGAUUGAAGCUCUUUCUUGAUCACUUCGGUGGUGGUGCAUGGCCGUUCUUAGUUGGUGGAGUGAUUUGUCUGGUUAAUUCCGUUAACGAACGAGACCUCAGCCUGCUAGUAUAGUCGGCUGGUUUGCCUUUGGCGAUCCGUGAUUUCGACUUCUUAGAGGGACAAUCGAUGCGCAGUCGAUGGAAGUUUGAGGCAAUAACAGGUCUGUGAUGCCCUUAGAUGUUCUGGGCCGCACGCGCGCUACACUGCUGGGCUCAGCGAGUUUUACUUGGCCGAGAGGCCCGGUUAAUCUUGUGAAAUCCCAGCGUGCUUGGGCUCGCCUCCUGCAGCUGGAGGCGCCAACGAGGAAUUCCUAGUAGACGCAGGUCAUCAACCUGCAUCGAUUACGUCCCUGCCCUUUGUACACACCGCCCGUCGUUCCAUAAGAGUGAGGCAUCCGGUGAAUUCUCGGGAGAGCCUGGGCGUGGCCAGCAAUGGUCUGCUCGGGUUUGAACUUGCAUAAACUUGGUGCCUAUGAUUAGGG